rnacentral:rRNA from 1 species
UGNCCGCGUGUAGGAAGACUGCCCUAUGGGUUGUAAACUACUUUUAUAUGGGAAGAAUAAGGUCUACGUGUAGACUGAUGACGGUACCAUAAGAAUAAGCACCGGCUAACUCCGUGCCAGCAGCCGCGGUAAUACGGAGGGUGCAAGCGUUAUCCGGAAUCAUUGGGUUUAAAGGGUCCGUAGGCGGGCAUAUAAGUCAGUGGUGAAAGUCUGUGGCUUAACCAUAGAAUUGCCAUUGAUACUGUAUGUCUUGAAUUAUUGUGAAGUGGUUAGAAUAUGUAGUGUAGCGGUGAAAUGCUUAGAGAUUACAUAGAAUACCGAUUGCGAAGGCAGAUCACUAACAAUAUAUUGACGCUGAUGGACGAAAGCGUAGGUAGCGAACAGGAUUAGAUACCCUGGUAG